AGAGUUUGAUCAUGGCUCAGAUUGAACGCUGGCGGCAUGCCUUACACAUGCAAGUCGAACGGCAGCGCGGGAGCAAUCCUGGCGGCGAGUGGCGAACGGGUGAGUAAUAUAUCGGAACAUGCCCUGUAGCGGGGGAUAACCUAUCGAAAGAUGGACUAAUACCGCAUACGCUCUACGGAGGAAAGCGGGGGUCGCAAGACCUCGCACUAUAGGAGCGGCCGAUAUCGGAUUAGCUAGUUGGCGGGGUAAAAGCCCACCAAGGCGACGAUCCGUAGCUGGUCUGAGAGGAUGAUCAGCCACACUGGAACUGAGACACGGUCCAGACUCCUACGGGAGGCAGCAGUGGGGAAUUUUGGACAAUGGGCGCAAGCCUGAUCCAGCCAUGCCGCGUGAGUGAAGAAGGCCUUCGGGUUGUAAAGCUCUUUCGGCAGGAACGAAAUGGUUCGUGCUAAUACCACGGACUGAUGACGGUACCUGAAGAAGAAGCACCGGCUAACUACGUGCCAGCAGCCGCGGUAAUACGUAGGGUGCAGGCGUUAAUCGGAAUUACUGGGCGUAAAGCGUGCGCAGGCGGUUUCUUAAGUCAGAUGUGAAAGCCCCGGGCUUAACCUGGGACUGCGUUUGAAACUGGGAGACUUGAGUGUGGCAGAGGGGGGUGGAAUUCCACGUGUAGCAGUGAAAUGCGUAGAUAUGUGGAGGAACACCGAUGGCGAAGGCAGCCCCCUGGGUUAACACUGACGCUCAUGCACGAAAGCGUGGGGAGCAAACAGGAUUAGAUACCCUAGUAGUCC
rnacentral:rRNA from 1 species